UUAAGCGACUAAGCGUACACGGUGGAUGCCCUGGCAGUCAGAGGCGAUGAAGGACGUGCUAAUCUGCGAUAAGCGCCGGUAAGGUGAUAUGAACCGUUAUAACCGGCGAUUUCCGAAUGGGGAAACCCAGUGUGAUUCGUCACACUAUCAUUAACUGAAUCCAUAGGUUAAUGAGGCGAACCGGGGGAACUGAAACAUCUAAGUACCCCGAGGAAAAGAAAUCAACCGAGAUUCCCCCAGUAGCGGCGAGCGAACGGGGAGGAGCCCAGAGCCUGAAUCAGCAUGUGUGUUAGUGGAAGCGUCUGGAAAGGCGCGCGAUACAGGGUGACAGCCCCGUACACAAAAGCGCAUGUGCUGUGAGCUCGAUGAGUAGGGCGGGACACGUGGUAUCCUGUCUGAAUAUGGGGGGACCAUCCUCCAAGGCUAAAUACUCCUGACUGACCGAUAGUGAACCAGUACCGUGAGGGAAAGGCGAAAAGAACCCCGGCGAGGGGAGUGAAAAAGAACCUGAAACCGUGUACGUACAAGCAGUGGGAGCACAGGUUUACCUGUGUGACUGCGUACCUUUUGUAUAAUGGGUCAGCGACUUAUAUUCUGUAGCAAGGUUAACCGAAUAGGGGAGCCGGAGGGAAACCGAGUCUUAACCGGGCGUUAAGUUGCAGGGUAUAGACCCGAAACCCGGUGAUCUAGCCAUGGGCAGGUUGAAGGUUGGGUAACACUAACUGGAGGACCGAACCGACUAAUGUUGAAAAAUUAGCGGAUGACCUGUGGCUGGGGGUGAAAGGCCAAUCAAACCGGGAGAUAGCUGGUUCUCCCCGAAAGCUAUUUAGGUAGCGCCUCGUGAAUUCAUCUCCGGGGGUAGAGCACUGUUUCGGCUAGGGGGCCAUCCCGGCUUACCAACCCGAUGCAAACUGCGAAUACCGGAGAAUGUUAUCACGGGAGACACACGGCGGGUGCUAACGUCCGUCGUGAAGAGGGAAACAACCCAGACCGCCAGCUAAGGUCCCAAAGUCAUGGUUAAGUGGGAAACGAUGUGGGAAGGCCCAGACAGCCAGGAUGUUGGCUUAGAAGCAGCCAUCAUUUAAAGAAAGCGUAAUAGCUCACUGGUCGAGUCGGCCUGCGCGGAAGAUGUAACGGGGCUAAACCAUGCACCGAAGCUGCGGCAGCGAACGUAUCACUUAAAGCGAUUCAGCGGGUUACGAUUGACGGAGCGAAGCGACGUCAAAGCGUAUACAAAGUCGAGUCGGUUUAAGGAUACGUUCGUUGGGUAGGGGAGCGUUCUGUAAGCCUGCGAAGGUGGCCUGUGAGGGUUGCUGGAGGUAUCAGAAGUGCGAAUGCUGACAUAAGUAACGAUAAAGCGGGUGAAAAGCCCGCUCGCCGGAAGACCAAGGGUUCCUGUCCAACGUUAAUCGGGGCAGGGUGAGUCGACCCCUAAGGCGAGGCCGAAAGGCGUAGUCGAUGGGAAACGGGUUAAUAUUCCCGUACUUGGUGUUACUGCGAAGGGGGGACGGAGAAGGCUAUGUUGGCCGGGCGACGGUUGUCCCGGUUUAAGCGUGUAGGUGUGUGUUCCAGGUAAAUCCGGUUCACUUUAACACUGAGGCGUGAUGACGAGGCACUACGGUGCUGAAGCAACAAAUGCCCUGCUUCCAGGAAAAGCCUCUAAGCAUCAGGUAACAUCAAAUCGUACCCCAAACCGACACAGGUGGUCAGGUAGAGAAUACCAAGGCGCUUGAGAGAACUCGGGUGAAGGAACUAGGCAAAAUGGUGCCGUAACUUCGGGAGAAGGCACGCUGACACGUAGGUGAAGUGAUUUACUCAUGGAGCUGAAGUCAGUCGAAGAUACCAGCUGGCUGCAACUGUUUAUUAAAAACACAGCACUGUGCAAACACGAAAGUGGACGUAUACGGUGUGACGCCUGCCCGGUGCCGGAAGGUUAAUUGAUGGGGUCAGCGCAAGCGAAGCUCCUGAUCGAAGCCCCGGUAAACGGCGGCCGUAACUAUAACGGUCCUAAGGUAGCGAAAUUCCUUGUCGGGUAAGUUCCGACCUGCACGAAUGGCGUAAUGAUGGCCAGGCUGUCUCCACCCGAGACUCAGUGAAAUUGAACUCGCUGUGAAGAUGCAGUGUACCCGCGGCAAGACGGAAAGACCCCGUGAACCUUUACUAUAGCUUGACACUGAACAUUGAGCCUUGAUGUGUAGGAUAGGUGGGAGGCUUUGAAGCGUGGACACCAGUCUGCGUGGAGCCGACCUUGAAAUACCACCCUUUAAUGUUUGAUGUUCUAACGUGGACCCGUAAUCCGGGUUGCGGACAGUGUCUGGUGGGUAGUUUGACUGGGGCGGUCUCCUCCUAAAGAGUAACGGAGGAGCACGAAGGUUGGCUAAUCCUGGUCGGACAUCAGGAGGUUAGUGCAAUGGCAUAAGCCAGCUUGACUGCGAGCGUGACGGCGCGAGCAGGUGCGAAAGCAGGUCAUAGUGAUCCGGUGGUUCUGAAUGGAAGGGCCAUCGCUCAACGGAUAAAAGGUACUCCGGGGAUAACAGGCUGAUACCGCCCAAGAGUUCAUAUCGACGGCGGUGUUUGGCACCUCGAUGUCGGCUCAUCACAUCCUGGGGCUGAAGUAGGUCCCAAGGGUAUGGCUGUUCGCCAUUUAAAGUGGUACGCGAGCUGGGUUUAGAACGUCGUGAGACAGUUCGGUCCCUAUCUGCCGUGGGCGCUGGAGAACUGAGGGGGGCUGCUCCUAGUACGAGAGGACCGGAGUGGACGCAUCACUGGUGUUCGGGUUGUCAUGCCAAUGGCACUGCCCGGUAGCUAAAUGCGGAAGAGAUAAGUGCUGAAAGCAUCUAAGCACGAAACUUGCCCCGAGAUGAGUUCUCCCUGAGACUUAGAGUCUCCUGAAGGAACGUUGAAGACGACGACGUUGAUAGGCCGGGUGUGUAAGCGCAGCGAUGCGUUGAGCUAACCGGUACUAAUGAACCGUGAGGCUUAACCUU
rnacentral:rRNA from 1 species